AGUAAAGUCAGCCAAAUAAGCUAUCGGGCCCAUACCCCUAAAAUGUAGGUCUAAACCCUACCUUUACUA
rnacentral:tRNA from 1 species